rnacentral:sRNA from 1 species
UUUAAAAAGCCGAAUCGUAGUGAUACGAGCGGAGGACCCAAUGUGGGGUGAAUUUCGUCAAGAAUAGGGUAUCUCGACCCGAACCCGGCAGCUAACUUCGUAGGCGUUCGAGAGGG